rnacentral:rRNA from 1 species
GGCGAACGGGUGAGUAACACGUGGGCAAUCUGCCCUGCACUCUGGGACAAGCCCUGGAAACGGGGUCUAAUACCGGAUACUGAUCCRUCUGGGCAUCCAGGCGGUUCGAAAGCUCCGGCGGUGCAGGAUGAGCCCGCGGCCUAUCAGCUUGUUGGUGAGGUAACGGCUCACCAAGGCGACGACGGGUAGCCGGCCUGAGAGGGCGACCGGCCACACUGGGACUGAGACACGGCCCAGACUCCUACGGGAGGCAGCAAUGGGGAAUAUUGCACAAUGGGCGCAAGCCUGAUGCAGCGACGCCGCGUGAGGGAUGACGGCCUUCGGGUUGUAAACCUCUUUCAGCAGGGAAGAAGCGAAAGUGACGGUACCUGCAGAAGAAGCGCCGGCUAACUACGUGCCAGCAGCCGCGGUAAUACGUAGGGCGCGAGCGUUGUCCGGAAUUAUUGGGCGUAAAGAGCUCGUAGGCGGCUUGUCACGUCGGUUGUGAAAGCCCGGGGCUUAACCCCGGGUCUGCAGUCGAUACGGGCAGGCUAGAGUUCGGUAGGGGAGAUCGGAAUUCCUGGUGUAGCGGUGAAAUGCGCAGAUAUCAGGAGGAACACCGGUGGCGAAGGCGGAUCUCUGGGCCGAUACUGACGCUGAGGAGCGAAAGCGUGGGGAGCGAACAGGAUUAGAUACCCUGGUAGUCCACGCCGUAAACGGUGGGCACUAGGUGUGGGCGACAUUCCACGUCGUCCGUGCCGCAGCUAACGCAUUAAGUGCCCCGCCUGGGGAGUACGGCCGCAAGGCUAAAACUCAAAGGAAUUGACCGGGGGCCCGCACAAGCGGCGGAGCAUGUGGCUUAAUUCGACGCAACGCGAAGAACCUUACCAAGGCUUGACAUACACCGGAAAGCAUCAGAGAUGGUGCCCCCCUUGUGGUCGGUGUACAGGUGGUGCAUGGCUGUCGUCAGCUCGUGUCGUGAGAUGUUGGGUUAAGUCCCGCAACGAGCGCAACCCUUGUCCCGUGUUGCCAGCAAGCCCUUCGGGGUGUUGGGGACUCACGGGAGACCGCCGGGGUCAACUCGGAGGAAGGUGGGGACGACGUCAAGUCAUCAUGCCCCUUAUGUCUUGGGCUGCACACGUGCUACAAUGGCCGGUACAAUGAGCUGCGAUACCGCGAGGUGGAGCGAAUCUCAAAAAGCCGGUCUCAGUUCGGAUUGGGGUCUGCAACUCGACCCCAUGAAGUCGGAGUCGCUAGUAAUCGCAGAUCAGCAUUGCUGCGGUGAAUACGUUCCCGGGCCUUGUACACACCGCCCGUCACGUCACGAAAGUCGGUAACACCCGAAGCCGGUGGCCCAACCCCUUG